rnacentral:rRNA from 1 species
ACGGAAGGCAGCAGUGGGGGAUAUUGCACAAUGGGGGAAACCCUGAUGCAGCGACGCCGCGUGAGUGAAGAAGUAUUUCGGUAUGUAAAGCUCUAUCAGCAGGAAAGAUAAUGACGGUACCUGACUAAGAAGCACCGGCUAAAUACGUGCCAGCAGCCGCGGUAAUACGGAAGGUCCGAGCGUUAUCCGGAUUUAUUGGGUUUAAAGGGAGCGUAGGUGGGUCUGUAAGUCAGCCGUCAAAUCGCGCAGCUCAACUGCGCCCAGCGGUUGAAACUGCAGACCUUGAGUGCACAAGAGGGCGGUGGAAUUCGUGGUGUAGCGGUGAAAUGCUUAGAUAUCACGAAGAACUCCGAUUGCGAAGGCAGCCGCCUGGGGUGCAACUGACACUGAGGCUCGAAGGUGCGGGAAUCAAACAGGAUUAGAUACCCUGGUA